CAGUAGCCGCGGGAAUACGUAGGGUGCAAGCGUUAAUCGGAAUUACUGGGCGUAAAGCGUGCGCAGGCGGUUUGUUAAGACAGAUGUGAAAUCCCCGGGCUCAACCCGGGAACUGCAUUUGUGACUGGCAAGCUAGAGUGUGGCAGAGGGGGUGGAAUUCCGCGUGUAGCAGCGAAAUGCGUAGAUAUGCGGAAGAACACCGAUGGCGAAGGCAGCCCCCUGGGCCAACACUGACGCUCAUGCACGAAAGCGUGGGGAGCAAACAGGAUUAGAUACCCCUGUAGUCCCUGUCUCUUAUACA
rnacentral:rRNA from 1 species